GAAAGCACGACAUUGCUCACAUUGCUUCCAGUAUUAUUUUUAUAGCCAGCCUCGCGCUGGCUUUUUUUU
rnacentral:antisense_RNA from 1 species